rnacentral:SRP_RNA from 1 species
GCCGGGGGCUGUGGUGCGCGCCUGUAGUCCCAGCGACUCGGGAGGCUGAGGCAGGAGGAUCGCUUGAGCCCAGGAGUUCUGGGCUGUAGUGCGCUAUGCCGAUCGGGUGUCCGCACUAAGUUCGGCAUCAAUAUGGUGACCUCCCGGGAGCGGGGGACCACCAGGUUGCCUAAGGAGGGGUGAACCGGCCCAGGUCGGAAACGGAGCAGGUCAAGGUAGGAUCAUCGGCAGUCUGCUAUGGGGUGAGAAGGUUUAGGGUAGAUUGCCCUCAUCAACCUCAAUUAGUGCUUUAU